AGAAUUUCCUGAAGUAUAAGGUUAAAAUCAUUGCUUCUGUGUUCUGGCUACAGAAUUCAGAUAAUUUCAAUAGGAUCUCAGCUGGAGCUCAAGACUUGGUUAUUUUCUUUUUCUUUUAUUUAUUUCUUUUUGUUGUUGUUGUUUAAAUGAAUCCAGCAUCCCUUUGGAGAACAGAAGAUGGCACUCUUCCUUUUAUCUUGUGAGAUUUUCCACUUGAAUGUUUAAUUCUUCCUGUUAAGAUUCGGAGCAGCACCCUGUUGGUGAGUUGAUUGUUUCUUUGUGGUUAAUGACUACUUUUUCACAUAUCAAAAGACAGGGACACAUUCCAUGAAGUGUAAUAUUGAAUGUGAGGCACCAACUG